GAUGAACGCUGGCGGCGUGCCUAAUACAUGCAAGUCGAGCGAAGCGGGGACGGGUGAGUCACACGUGGAUAACCUCAUAUAAGAAUGGGAUAACUUAGGGAGAGCGGAGCUAAACCGGAUCCUUAGAGAUGGAUCCGCGCUGCAUUAGUUAGUUGGUACGGUAACGGCUUACAAAGGCAACGAUGCAUAGCCGACCUGAGAGGGUGAUCGGCCACACUGGAACUGAGACACGUUCCAGACUCCUACGGGAGGCAGCAGUAGGGAAUCUUCCACAAUGGACGAAAGUCUGAUGGAGCCACGCCGCGUGAGUGAAGAAGGUUUUCGGAUCGUAAAGCUCUUUUGUUGGUGAAGCGGUAAUCAACCAGAAAGUCACGGCUAACUACGUGCCAGCAGCCGCGGUAAUAC
rnacentral:rRNA from 1 species